rnacentral:rRNA from 1 species
GACGAACGCUGGCGGCGUGCCUAAUACAUGCAAGUAGAACGCACAGUUUAUACCGUAGCUUGCUACACCAUAGACUGUGAGUUGCGAACGGGUGAGUAACGCGUAGGUAACCUGCCUGGUAGCGGGGGAUAACUAUUGGAAACGAUAGCUAAUACCGCAUAAUAUUAAUUAUUGCAUGAUAAUUAAUUUAAAGGUGCAAUUGCACCACUACCAGAUGGACCUGCGUUGUAUUAGCUAGUAGGUGAGGUAACGGCUCAACUAGGCGACGAUACAUAGCCGACCUGGGAGGGUGAUCGGCCAAACUGGGACUGAGACAAGGCCCAGACGCCUACGGGAGGCAGCAGUAGGGAAUCUUCGGAAAUGGACGAAAGUCUGACCGAGCAAAGCCGCGUGAGUGAAGAAGGGUUUCGGAUCGUAAAGCUCUGUUGUAAGAGAAGAAAGGGUGUGAGAGUGGAAAGUUCACACUGUGACGGUAGCUUAACAGAAAGGGACGGCUAACUACGUG